ensembl:lncRNA
AUCUGAUUAACCAGACUGAUCUGCAAUCAAGCCCCUAAGGGCUUGCUGCAGUCCCAGCUGAAGCUGAAGUAUGAUUUUUCCUGUGAGGUUCACACCCCAGGAUGCAGAACACAUCCCGUGACUGCCUUCAUCUCUUCUGUCCUCUCCUCCUGCCCCAGCUCACGAUGAGGAGAAGGAAACGUGUGUUUUCAACUCUAGGACAUAAGAGCUCAUUCAGUACUGGUCAACAAAGUUAAUUUGAUCUGAGAGCAUGAAGACAGCAUCCCUGAAUUCAGCAGUGAGCAUCCAUGCUGGAAUGCAGAAUUGGCCACGUAAUAACAUUUUCUAUUUACAGCGUUAAUAUGGGAUAGAUUGGGUGGCUUCAAACAGGCAGCUGCUCUGUGGUGGUGUGGGGGCUUUAUACUGUAAAAAAUGCAUGCUGCUCAAAGAUCUCUCUCUUUUUUAUUUAUGUGUUUAUGAAGUACACUGGCUGGCCUUCAGAACGCUCACUUUCCAAGAUGUAAAGUUCCAUUCGGUUUUACGUUUGUUAACUGUGGUUUUCUGUCUGUCUCUGUAAAGCCCUGGCAAGAAUAGAACUUGUUUUCUGCUGGGUCCUUGCACUGCUGGCUGUCACAUGGGCUUUUCAGGCUGAGAUUUUUGGAGUGAUUGUUGUAGCCAGACACCUAACGGCAUUUAGCAGGAGUCAAUUCCUGAACUCUUCCGAAAAUCUCAGCCUUUCCAAUUCAGUCAAGAUUUGGGUUCCUUCACGGGCCAGAUGAAAUUACUCUACAGAAUAACUGUGCAUAACAAUGGAUAAAGGGCAAGUCUACACACAUUUUGUGCACUAUUGCUCUUCUGGCUGCAGUGACUUGGGAUCGGUGGAAAGAAUUUGGGCAGCCAGUUGGAAAACUCAAUCUUGCAUAUUUUUCUAAAAAUAAAUAAUUGCUCUUUAAAAGAAAAAGAAGAAAACUACGAAAAUAAUCCUUUUAUUCAAGCAAGCUAUACGUUCCAUAUAGCCCAUAUUCCACAUGUACACUGAUUUAAAAUUGUAUCUGUGUAAUCCUCCUCUCAUAAAUAUGUUAAUCGAACAUAUAUUUGUACUGGGAAAAUGAAUGACUAAAAAAACAAUGCUUCAAAUGAAAGAUAUAUUUUGUGGUAUGCUGCAGGGAGGGUGGGUGAUUAAUGUGAGUCCCAAACACAAGAGCAAAGAGGAUUACAGGCUUUACCCUUCACACCCAAACUGCGCUCUUGAAGUGUUUUUCAGAACGGGUGCCUGGCCAGGGCACAGGGUUUCAUGAGCUCUUGCAUCUGUUCUCUCUGUCUGGUCUGACUUGUGUCCAAACUAAGGUGGUGGCAGUCAGCAAGUUGCUGUGUGUCUUGCAGGAUCACUAACCUGUUAGAUGAGUGAUGAUUCCAGACUCAGCAUUCCCUCAGCUCUCACUUGUGAGAGUGAUUGCCAAGGCUAGCAGUGACCUAGAUAACGUGGGAGGAACAAGCACACACUACUACUUCAGAUUCCUUUUGAAUUUUUGAACAGUGACACAUCGUAUGGCCUUAUAUUCUUUAGAUAACCUAUGGCCAUACAUUGGCCAAGGAAGAAUGCAGAGUCAUUAUUUCUCACUCUGUUUUCAGGCACAAAAUUAAAACGUGACGUUUUGCCAGAACUGAAGAGCUCGUUACUUGAGCGGCAGCCAUGAUCACCUUUUAUCAGGACCUGGUUAAAGAUGAGGUUGGCAGAGUAGCUGUAAUAUUUAGGAUAGACUGGCUAUCUCUGGGUAGUAGUAGGAAAGGGCAGGAUGCAAGGGGCAGGGCAGUAGUUGUGCUAUUUUUCUGGAAAGGUUAGGACACAAUAGUACAAGAGUACAAUUAGUACUCAGGCACAAAGUGGGAGAACAAGUUCUGCUGGAGGCAUCUCUGCCUGAGCACUUAGGGGGACAUGGCGUAGGUGUUGCUUGACCCUCAUUGUUGCUGAAGCCACUGGCCCUGCUCAUUUUAUGCCUGUGCCCUCCAUAGAAUAAUGGAAAGCUGAGGAUGCAAACCUGCCUUUUAAGCUGGUGUUCCAGAUGAAGCAAAUUCAUCCAUGACAGAUUCAGAAUGGGUAGAACCAUCACAGGAAAGAGGUAGCCUCGUUUAUCUGACAGUAAUUCAUUCUAAUACUCCCAAGACACCCACGAUAUUUAAUACUGGCACAGAAGAGUAACUGCCACCUCAAUGUGACAGCAUCACCUCUUUUUUGGGCAUCCCUUCUCCCUGUUAAAUUUACUCCUUUUUCAAACACUGAUCUAUCUGGGAAUCCUUUUCAAAUUCAUGUGAGUUUUAUUAAAUGCUGGGUAAUGUGUGACCCCAUCAAGGGACUGCAGUGCCCACUUGGGAGACUUUU